UGGGGAAUUUUGGACCAUGGGGGAAACCCUGAUCCAGCCAUCCCGCGUGUGCGAUGAAGGCCUUCGGGUCGUAAAGCACCUUUGGCAGGAAAGAAAAGUCAUGGGUUAAUACCCCGUGAAACUGACGGUACCUGCAGAAUAAGCACCCGCUAACUACGUGCCAGCAGCCGCGGUAAUACGUAGGGUGCAAGCGUUAAUCGGAAUUACUGGGCGUAAAGCGUGCGCAGGCGGUUCGGAAAGAAAGAUGUGAAAUCCCAUGGCUCAACUUUGGAACUGCAUUUUUAACUACCGGGCUAGAGUGUGGCGGAGGGAGGUGGAAUUCCGCGUGUAGCAGUGAAAUGCGUAGAUAGGAGGAGGAACACCGGUGGAGAAGGCAGCCUCCUGGGAUAACACUGCCGCUCAUGCACGAAAGGGUGGGGAGCAAACAGG
rnacentral:rRNA from 1 species